AGUUAAAAUAUUUAAAGAAGUGAUUUUAAAUUCUCAAACGCAUGAUGAGGCUAAUAAUAUAGUCUGAACAGGAUAACCUACCCUAUUUUGAAGAAAAACGUGUUGGCGGCCGGUUAUGAGACUCGAACUCACACAUCUGUGAUUACGCUGAAAACAGUGUAU